GCUGGACUCGGUGGCACGUGCCUAUAGUCCCAGCAACUUGGGAGGCUGAGACAGGAGAACUGCUUGAAUCCAGGAGUUCUGGGCUGUAGUGCGCUGUGCCAAUUGGGUGUCCACACUAAGUUAGUCGAUAUGGUGACCUUCCAGAAGCAGGGGCCACCAGAUUGCUUAAGGAGAGGUGAACCAGCCUGGGUUGGAAAUGGAGCAGGUCAAAACUCCUGUGCUGAUGAGUAGUGGGGUCGUGCCUGUGAAUAGCCACUGCACUCCAGCCUGGGCAACAUACCAAGACCCCGUCUCUU
rfam:Otolemur garnettii contig022911, whole genome shotgun sequence.